rnacentral:rRNA from 1 species
AGUGAACGCUGGCGGUAGGCCUAACACAUGCAAGUCGAACGGCAGCACAGGAGAGCUUGCUCUCUGGGUGGCGAGUGGCGGACGGGUGAGGAAUACAUCGGAAUCUACUCUGUCGUGGGGGAUAACGUAGGGAAACUUACGCUAAUACCGCAUACGAUCUACGGGUGAAAGCAGGGGAUCUUCGGACCUUGCGCGAUUGAAUGAGCCGAUGUCGGAUUAGCUAGUUGGCGGGGUAAAGGCCCACCAAGGCGACGAUCCGUAGCUGGUCUGAGAGGAUGAUCAGCCACACUGGAACUGAGACACGGUCCAGACUCCUACGGGAGGCAGCAGUGGGGAAUAUUGGACAAUGGGCGCAAGCCUGAUCCAGCCAUACCGCGUGGGUGAAGAAGGCCUUCGGGUUGUAAAGCCCUUUUGUUGGGAAAGAAAUCCAGCUGGCUAAUACCCGGUUGGGAUGACGGUACCCAAAGAGUAAGCACCGGCUAACUUCGUGCCAGCCGCCACGGUAA